AACGAACGCUGGCGGCGCGCCUAACACAUGCAAGUCGAACGAGAAUCCGGGGCAACCCGGUAGUAAAGUGGCAAACGGGUGAGGAAUACAUGGGUAACCUACCCUUGAGAAGGGAAUAACCCGCCGAAAGGUGAGCUAAUACCCUAUACGCUAUCUUUUUUUCGAAAAGGAUAGGAAAGCCGGGUCGAGGACCUGGUACUCAAGGAGGGGCUCAUGUCCUAUCAGCUUGUUGGUGGGGUAACGGCCUACCAAGGCUACGACGGGUAGCUGGUCUGAGAGGAUGAUCAGCCACACUGGCACUGAGAUACGGGCCAGACUCCUACGGGAGGCAGCAGUGAGGAAUAUUGCGCAAUGGGCGAAAGCCUGACGCAGCGACGCCGCGUGGGGGAUGAAGGUUUUCGGAUUGUAAACCCCUUUCAUGAGGAAAGAUAAAGUGGGUAACCACUUAGACGGUACCUCAAGAAGAAGCCACGGCUAACUUCGUGCCAGCAGCCGCGGUAAAGUGACUACU
rnacentral:rRNA from 1 species